CAAGAUAUGUAAAUAUAUCAGAAAAUAGGCAUAAGAGGGAAGCAGUAAAUACUAUUUUAUGCUCUUAAUUGUAUGCUAAAAGCUUCUAAAGCACAAGUGCAUAUUUUUAUACAGCUCUUUUGAAAACUUUCUGUGAUUACAUAAAGUCAGACUUGAGAUUUUCCUUUGUCUUUUACCAAUCAACCCUUCUCUAUGUAUUGUAAAUAUUAGAAACUAAACAAAAUAUCUUUGUUUCCUUUUCAAAUCCUCUGUACUCCAUGCUGCAUUUUUAAGAGGUAUAAACAGAGGCUGAAUUAACUGAAUAGUAUUUACUUUUUUCAAAUGAAAAUUGGAAUUGCAGAACACUUGAAACUAGUACACGGGAAGAAAAAAAUGACUUAUCACUACAUAAUGUGCCAAUGUUUUUUUCUAUGUUUUGUACCAAAAAAUGAAAUCCUAUAUGACAAUUCCACGCAAAGAAACGUAUCUAAAUUUUUUUUUGUUAGAAAAGCGAAUGUGCUUGGUCAGGAGAGCAGCUAGCUUUGUGUUGUAAUGCUGCAUUAUGUAAAUGUGAUGAAAAUGUUUUUGUGAAGUACUUGUAACUAAAUUCCUACAGCCAUUUUUCAUUCCCAACAGCUGUUUUUAUUUUAUCUCUUUGGCCUAAACUUUUCAUUAUUUCAAAAUUUCGCUUUAGUGUCCUUUAUUUCAUGAGUCACACACUUUAUUUUCAGACACAUUAAAUUCAGGAUGUCAAAAUCCCAUUUUAAGGAGCUAAAUAAUUUGCCUAGGCUUCAGAAGCUUGCUAGAGACAAGGACUUUUUUCCUCACCAUAUCGCUUUCAGUUCCAUUUGGUAAGUAACAUUUAUCAGAUGUCUGACAUUUUCUGUAUGAAUGUUACAGCUUACUCCUUGUAGUGUCAAAUUAAUUUCAUAAGAACUUAAAUGUUAAAUGCUUUAAGACUGCCAGGUACCACAGUUUCAGCACAGCUAUGCUCUUAAUCAGUGUGUGAUCUAUUAUGCAGUAAUCUUCUCAGUUGCGAACUAAAUAUUGCAUUCGUCCAUACAAGUCACUUAUCAGAAAUACAGUCUUUCAGAAGGUACAAGCGAUUAUAAAUGCCUCUUUAUACUUAGUUGUUUAACACUGUGUUGAAGGGGGCCCUAUUAAUUGGGAAAAAUGCUAUCUAAAAUAGAUAGAAGUCACACUAGGACUACUGCUUCACCAGAAGUGUUGGUUAUAAGGUCAUUCUUGCAGGUAACAAUGUUUUAUAAUUCUAAGUCAUUAUUUCCUUUCCAACUUCAGAUUUUAAAGGUUGCUUGCUUAGUCUAAGUCAGGACCAGUAAGUCUUAGGGGCAAAGAACAAGCCUCCAGCUGAGAAAGGAAUGAUACAGUGCCCCUGAAAGUUAGGCUCUUGCUUGUAUUGCUUGAAAACAGCCAGAGAAGGAGGUAAUAGGGUAUUUUUAAGUAACAAUGACAAGGCCCGCUACAGUGUUACUUUUGGUGCUCCAAGUUCUGAACUUCUAGCAGCAGUGUACAUACAGCUCCUGAGCAGCCCUCAAGUCCACUGAGCCCUACUAGAAUCUCCCAUCUGAGUUGGAGGCUUCCUUCCAGAUAAAAGGUUGAUGGUGGUACUUACUUCGGGUACUAAUUGCUCCCAAAACUCACCUCUGGUUUCUGUCACCCCAUGGGAAUACCUGAAAAUACUAACCCAAAACAUAUUAGGAAAGAAGGCAGUUAAAAAUAUAUGAAUUCCUUAUAUAAUUCAUUAAAGAGGUCUUAUACAAUUCAAGAAAACAACUUGAGAAACUCAAAAGACCUCAUGUAGAAUGUCUAAAGAAAAAGCUAGCUAGUAAUGGAAGAAAUUUCAGCUAUUGAGGAAAAUUUAAAAGCCUGAAAAUGACAGAGAUACUAACUAAAGUGAUCAACAACCUGAUGCGCUAAGACCAGAACUGCACGUCUGCCUGGUUUAGGGAUACCACCCAUGCUCCAAUUUUAGGAUGAAAGAAUGGAAAGCCAAAAACUUGUUGUCAUGGUGGCAGAUUUGAGGAGUCACACAGGAGGCCCAGCUAAGAGGCAGUACCAAUUUUCCUACUCAGAUCCUGUUAUUCUGCAGUGGAGGUCAUGCCAAUUUUAAUAUAUUUCUCCAUAAAGUUAUUUCCCUUGUAAAGCCUUUAUCCCUGAUUCCAGGCCUCUCUUAUUUCUGCUUUUAAAGCCCCUCAAUGAUGGUAAUGGGAACAGGGUUAAUUGCAAGGCCUUACCUGCCUGGGCCUCAGUUUCCUCGUCCUAACAUUAGGGCAUCAGUCUGGCACUGAUGACCUUAGCUCUUCCAGUCUGGAGGGAAUGUGGGAGCAAUGGUCAAAGGUAAAACCAGUAAAGAACAACAAUUUACAAAGAUCUUCUUAAAGAUGUGUGGGAUAAACAGGUGAAUCGGCAGCAAGCAAAGGAGAAGGCUCAGUCUUCUGACAUCAUAAUAGGAUUUCUUGAUCAGCACUUUAAUAAUAACUCCACAGUUAACUCCACUUACUUUUUAAAUUUUUAUUCUUUAGUACCAAAAGGGAGAAAGAGUAUUCUGUGCUAGGCCCACCAGGUGAUAAAGAGGAUUAAAUCUGAGUGGUCACUGCAAGUAACUUCACAAAUGAAGCCUUUCUCAAUAUUUCCUAUU
rnacentral:lncRNA from 1 species